AUUGAACGCUGGCGACAGGCCUAACACAUGCAAGUCGAACGAGUGGCGGACGGGUGAGUAAUGUCUGGGAAACUGCCUGAUGGAGGGGGUUAACUACUGGAAACGGUAGCUAAUACCGCAUACCAUCGGAUGUGCCCAGAUGGGGUUAGCUAGUAGGUGGGGUAAAGGCUCACCUCGGCGACGAUCCCUAGCUGGGCUGAGAGGAUGACCAGCCAGACUGGAACUGGGACACGGUCCAGACUCCUACGGGGGGCAUCAGUGGGGAAUAUUGCACAAUGGGCGCAAGCCUGAUGCAGCCAAGACGCGUGUAUGAAGAGGGCCGUCGGGUUGUAAAGUGCUUUAAGCGGGGAGGCGUUACCCGCAGAAGAAGCACCGGCUAACUCCGUGCCAGCAGCCGCGGUAAUAC
rnacentral:rRNA from 1 species